AGCUUUGUGUAGUGGUAGUAUCAUAGCCAAUGAGGUUUAUACGAGGCAUGAUUAUUGCUAAUUGAAAACUUUUCCCAAUACCCACAAUGAUUUGAAAUAUAGUUGGCACUGGCAAUUUUUGACAGUCUCUAUGGAGA
ensembl:snRNA U4 U4 spliceosomal RNA